rnacentral:rRNA from 1 species
UACGUAGGGUGCGAGCGUUGCCCGGAUUUAUUGGGCGUAAAGGGCGCGUAGGCGGCCACGCACGUCCGUUGUGAAAUCGCUCGGCUCAACUGGGCGGGGUCAGCGGAUACGGAGUGGCUGGAGCAAGCUAGGGGGCAAUGGAAUUCCCGGUGUAGUGGUGGAAUGCGUAGAUAUCGGGAGGAACACCAGUGGCGAAGGCGGUUGCCUGGAGCUUUGCUGACGCUGAUGCGCGAAAGUGUGGGGAUCAAACAGG